rnacentral:rRNA from 1 species
UACGAAGGGGGCUAGCGUUGUUCGGAAUUACUGGGCGUAAAGCGCGCGUAGGCGGCGUAUUAAGUCAGGGGUGAAAGGCCUGGGCUCAACCCAGGAACUGCCUUUGAGACUGGUGCGCUCGAGUUCGGAAGAGGGUAGUGGAAUUCCCAGUGUAGAGGUGAAAUUCGUAGAUAUUGGGAAGAACACCGGUGGCGAAGGCGGCUACCUGGUCCGAUACUGACGCUGAAGUGCGAAAGCGUGGGGAGCAAAC